rnacentral:rRNA from 1 species
CCUACGGUAGGCAGCAGUGAGGAAUAUUGGUCAAUGGGCGUAAGCCUGAACCAGCCAAGUCGCGUGAGGGAUGAAGGUUCUAUGGAUCGUAAACCUCUUUUAUAAGGGAAUAAAGUGUGGGACGUGUCCUAUUUUGUAUGUACCUUAUUAAUAAGGAUCGGCUAACUCCGUGCCAGCAGCCGCGGUAAUACUGAGGAUCCGAGCGUUAUCCGGAUUUAUUGGGUUUAAGGGGUGCGUAGGCGGCCUUUUAAGUCAGCUGUGAAAGUCUGUGGCUCAACCAUAGAAUUGCCGUUGAAACUGGGGGGCUUGAGGAUGUUUGAGGCAGGCGGAAUGCGUGGUGUAGCGGUGAAAUGCUGAGAUAUCACGCAGAACCCCGAUUGCGAAGGCAGCCUGCCAAGCCAUGACUGACGCUGAUGCACGAAAGCGUGGGGAUCAAACAGGAUUAGAUACCCUUGUAGUC